CAAAACUCCUUAAAGACUUCCAGAGCCCAGACUGCUGUUUUUUUCCACAGCUGUGUGCAGCAUUGUUAAAGCAAACCAACCAGAAGGCAUCUGUGGAGCACUGAAUUUGUGCUUUGGGAAUGCACUGGGGGAAGUGAGCUGUGCCAUCCCUCGUUCCCAGGGGUAGAUUCCUUUCCCAGGCUCAGCUGUGGAGAUGUAGUCAUGUUCUGAAGCUUUCUUGACAGAGCUGCUGGAAGAAAGAAGGAAUUUUAUCCUGGUGUGUUUCUCUGUGAACCUUUCUUUGCUGGAAAUUGCUUUGAAACCCUCUGAGGUUGCUUGUGAAGAAUACCAAAUCCCAUCUUUGUGCUGAUAAAGAAACUCUCUUCCCUGAAGCCUUCUGACCAGCUGGGAAACUUCACUGCAAUCUCCUAACCACUGACAGCAGCCAGGCUUUCUUCCUUCUUACCACGUGGGGAAGUUAAAUCCUGCCCACACUGACCUGCAGGUAAUAUCAACAGCAGCACAGAGGCCCUCCAAGCACCCCUUUUCCAAUGGGAUGCUUUUCCUGUGAGACCACCUCUUUCCAGCCUUUGCCAGCCACAGAAGAGCAGCAGCUCUGGCAUCUCAGGCUGCACAACUGGCACUGCUCAGCCAAAUCUGCGUGGAUGGUCCCAGACAACUCAAAGCUGUUUGGUGUGGUAGGUGGGCUCACCUCCUCCUUGGCUUCAGCUGCUGUAUAUUCUGAAGCAUGUCUUAUGAGGCCUUUUUGUGUGAGAAACUUAAGAUGUACACCUAUGGAUUGGCCUUGUAAUCUCCUUAUCGUGACCAUCUCCUUAUAGGGCCUCUGCCACUGUAGUUUGGCUGCUGGUUGAGAAAUAAAGUUCUUCCAGUUAUUCCAUAAAGAAAUGGCUCGAGUCCAUCAAACUCCCAUGACAGUUUCUCUUCCUAUGCUGCAAAGCAAAAUGAAAGCUUCAGCGUGUGGUGAGCAAGGGAAUGCAGAGUCCUGGUGUGUCCAUGAACUGAGCGUGUGCCCACAUCACAGUGCUCCUACUGCUAGAAAAUGAGAUCGGUGUUUUCUGCUCUUGGAAGCCCACAGUCCCACCACGUCAAACCUGUUUCAAGCCUGACUUCUCCUGCAACAUCCCUGUGACCAGCGGUGCAACCUGCUGAAUGUGCCACGUUUCCCAAGACUGUCUCAGGACAACCUGUAUCCCACUCCAGGGUUUUCAGGCUGAACAAACAGAUCUCGCCAGAAAUUUUGCCACGUUAGAAAGCACAGGCAAAAAUUCUCCCAAUUAUUAACAGCUUACACCAGGUUAGGACUCUUGUGCCUCAUCGUGAAGGUGGAUGAAACAGCCUCUCUCCCCAGAUGUUUUCUCCAAAGCUCCAGUUUGCAGGUCAGAGGUUACAGAGUAGGUGGUGGCUGCUGCCUUCCUGAGCUGCCUGUUCUUUGGAAAUCAUCCUGGUAACUACGUUAUAAAGAAAGUCCUCCAGAAUUGGAACAUUGUUCCGUCCUAUCUAAUAUUUUUGUGGCUUGUGAAGAAAGCCUUGACAGCUCGCAGAUGUAGAUGCUGGGAGAAGGGUAACUCACAAAGAGGAGCUGGAGCCCCUUGCGUGGUUUUGUUUGGAGCAGCACAACGUGCCAAGCCUCCAAUUCACCGAGCACUGCUUUUCCGACCCGCCCUGAUUAACCUGCCCCGUACAAGUGGCCGAUGAGGACGGGGAGCGGAGCUGCUCCGGGACGAUGGGGACGGGUGUGCAGCAAGCCAGGGCAGGCAGCCAGCACGGGCGGCUGCUGUUCAGGAUGACAGAAGAGGGAGAGCGAGUGCCACAGCUCGCGUUCAUCAUCGAUUGGUGACCUCCAAGGGAGGGCGAGGACAGAGCCAGCUGAGCUCUGCGCUUAGGUUAGCGAGGCUCCAAGUAAGACUCGAGUGAAAUUCAGUGUUGACAGAGGCUAACUAAUGGGUCUUCAGAAGAUUAAUUCGCAACGCUUAUAUUUUAUUGAGCUUCCCAAUUAGCUGUGACGGCCCAAGGAGCAAACAACCUGGCAGGCUGCUGCAGAGAGCUGGCUCCCCGAGCAGGAGUGACAAGGACGCGGCGAGCAGGGUGCUGGACUGCUGAGAUGUGGAAAAUGAGGCUGACAAAAUGCCAUGCUGCAGGAUUUGUAAUAGAGCGGGUCUGUGAUCCUUAGUCACCAGCUGGGGAGGGAGACAAAUGCACCUAGGAUUUGUUCCUAGCCUGGUGUGGCUGAGAAAGGCAGAAAGCAGAUGAGAUGUUUCUGCUGCCCAUCAGGGCUAGGGGUGCUUGGAAGCAGCCAGACCUGCUGGUGGGGUGCAGCACCAGGCAGCUGAAGCUGAUAUUCCCAUGGCAUCCAUCCUUUCCACAUCCUCCAUGGACACCCUGGCAGCCCAAUCAGAUCCUACGCCUCCCACAGAAGGGGGCAGGAGCAUCCAGUUGGGGACUGAGGAUGGAGGGAGGCAGGGUGGCAGCAGCCCCCUUCAGGCAGCUAUAAGCUGCCAUGGAAAACAGCACCUCUGGCAAACGGGAGGAAGAAAGCUGCUCUUUUGUUGUUGCUGUUGCCUGUUUUGUUCUUCCAUGCUUGACAAAGCUAGGCUUUGUACUCAUUCACUGUAAGUAAACAGAAUUGCACCUGGGACACAUCUGAAUUAGAUUCUCAAUUUUUCCAGUGAAGAAACAACCUUAUGAAUUCCUGACUAUUAGCUAAUGGCUCCUUCCAAGAGAGUAAGAGUAUAACAGUGCUAUUAAAUAAUGUGCUUUCAAUGUUUGCCUUCAAUUGUGAGCGCAGCUCCAUGACCACGCUUCCUGCAGCUCAGCCAGGCACCUGGAGGUAAAGGAGGGAACCCCAGGCUCUGCCUCACCCCAGGUUUCCCUCUACAUUUGGGUGCCUGUGGGCUUCAGCAGAGGCAGGUGAUGUCUCUAGAGGUGCUGAGGGUCUGUGCUUGGAGACUGCCCCGUUUCCCUGCCUUGGAAGAGAUAGGUGAAGAGGUGUCAGGACUGCAAAGCAUCAGGGCAGGCAAUAGAUGUGAAUGCCAUUCUGUACAGAGACAGCAAAUUAGAAAACAAUUAACCUUAUGUAAUUAGGCUCCAAGCAGUACACUUCUCUAGCUCUCUCCUGAUAACUGCUUGGGGACCUCAGCUGCUUGGUUUCUAACACUCAUGACCCAAGGCCCUUCUGUGCAUGGGAGCAGAUUGCUCGUAUGGUGGCUUGUGCCUUAUGACCGCAGGUUGCCGAAACAAUUUCUUCCUAAAACUAGGCUGUGAAGAUGCUUCUGCUCUGCACAUUUAGCUGUCCACUUCAAUCAUUAGUGCACAAAUAACUUCAGGUGCACAGUCCGACAAAUCAGUCUAAACAAAGGAUUAAUCCAUAGUGUUUGGGUUUAUUUUGUUUCUUUUUAUUUUUUAUUCAUUUUUUUUUAUUAUUUUAUUUUAUUAUUUUUUAUUAUUUUAUUUUUCUUCAGUCUCCUGACAUUGUGCACUCACUUUUACAGGAAUGUGAUGGGCCUUUUAAAAUAUGCAUGGCAGAAGUAGAACAAAGCCGUAUGACUUGUGCGCAGGCAAGGCUGAUUCAAAUAAUUCCUGAGCCUUCAGCAUAACUAGAACUGAAAAGCCAUUCAGGUAAGGAGAGUUUUCCUUUUUCCAGUGUGUGGUGUUUGGGUUUGUUUGUUUGUUUGUUUUCCAUCUUCCCUGCUUCCUUGGGGCAUUUGAGUACCAGCGUGGUUUUUCCUAUCCUGAGGACACUUGUGGAUCUGCAGAGGAAGUGAAAACUAAAUUACGAUUUACAGGAGUUUAAAACAGAUUCUAAGGCACGCCAGUGAAAAGAUGAUUUCUGAAAUACCAAUUUUGGUUUUAAUUCAAAAAAAAUCUGGUUGUUAGCUUCCUAUUACACCAUGAAAAUAACUACAACUCCGGAUAAUGCAAAUAAAAUUUGUAUCUGCUUUUUCCUCUUCUUAGUAAUACUCUCCUGUUGAGUAGGCCAUAUGCAUGCACUUGUCAUGUGUCCCCAGUUGUGCUGUACAUUCAUCAUGUAGAACAGCAAAUAGCUUCCAGCACCAUGCCAAGCUGAAAAAAUGACAAUAGACAAUUUUCCACCAGAAAACUCAAAUUUUUGUCAGCAAUAUUUUUGAAAAGAUACUAUUUUAAUAGUCUAACUGAUAUCACUAGGAUGGAAUUGCAAAGGGUGCAGGAUGGUUCAGAAAACCUUGUAUUCAAUUUUUAUUUUUUUUUAAUACCAAAAUGAAUGUCCUAAAAAUGUUUCUUAAAAAUUUGACUCAAAAUUUUGACUGAAAUCGUUCUUGAGAUUUUAAAAUAGGGCAUUUGUUAUGAAGCAGAUGUCUGGUUAAUUGCCAACUACUGACAAGCUCUCUUCCCUAGGUGGCCCAGUUCUGACCUCCUCACACCACAGACCAUGCUGACAAUGAUCACCCUGCUGACAGUGAUCACCCUGCAACAACUCCUGGGUCAAGUCCAUACAAACCCCAUCAGUCUUUGGAUUAGUGAGAUCAGGGCCUCCUUCCAGGUAUGGGCCCAGUCUUGAUUUCUCCAUUUCUGUGGUCUUCCUCCAAGAUUUCCAUUACCUCCCAUGUACUUGUGAGUCUAGCCCUGGCUCUAGUGUUCCUGAGUGAUCUACAUGGUGGAAAAACCUUGAUGUGGCCAAGAGGCCAGGACACCGGCCAUGUGCCAUGAAGAGCAAGGAGGGGAUGCUCCCACAGUUAUUUGCAGCAGAUGAGAAUGCCUUUCUAUUUAUUUUUCUUUUCCAGUGUCCCAAAAUAAAUGUGUCCAUAAGUGAGUAUUUCUCAGUGUAGUGUCACUAGUGUCACUCAAGUGAAGAAGAAAGUGAAGAAGAAUGGGUGGCUCAAACCAGUCUGCAUUGCUCAAAAGAAUAACAAAAAAUGAUUUUUGCAGAUUGCUCUGAUUUUGAUGCUUUUUUAAAAUAUUUUGAUUUGGGAUCAAAGUGGGGAAAAAAAAAAUCAGGUAUUUGUACAGCCCUAAUUCGAGCUCUGUGGAGUGCAGUGUUGGCUCAGUCUACUGGAAAUAGAGACGAUUCACCAAGCCGCAAAUGUCUCAUUGUUGAAAUCUCCCCCCAGCAUGUCUCUGCUGUUGCCCACAGUGUAACGUUACCCCACACCACACAUCCUGUAUAGAUUUGCUGGGUCUCUCUAGGGUUUGUGCCUUCUCAGCAUCUGUGAGACUACUGAGUCUGAACUAGUUGGUCUGCUUUUACAUUUGAAUCUUGAGCAGUACAUGAGAUUGGGGUGCAUGGUACAGUAAAAGUGCAGCUGUGAAAACCUCACCUGGACUUCUAGAUCUGUCUUCCCUUCCACCUCUUUCUGCCUGGCCACAGCUUGCUGCCAGCUCUUAUACACAUCACCUGUGCAUUAAAUCUCACUGUAAGAGAGCCAGCGCUGGGAGGAGGGGUGGGUGUUUUGUACUUGGUGUGACAGUGUACUGCACUUUACUAGGAUCCUGGGUGUUUAUUCAAGCUUUAUAAUGUUUGGGAGACAGAUGGGAUAUAGGCUGCAAUCUAGCUGUUCUAGCUCACGGAGCAGGAUUAAAUGAACCUGGGCUUGAAAGGUGAAUCCAGGACACAAGGAAGGAGUAAGAACCCUGGAGGCAUUUUUUGCUUCCAGGUAUUUGAACAAUAUCCUCUAGAAAGGAGAUGGUUACACCUUAAUCCACUGCUGACAUCUCCUCUGUUGCAGGACCAGAUGAAGCAGUGUGCUUUGCUGCUUUUCCCUGCUUGUUUGACUGACUUUGAAGCUGACAAGAAGACAUGCUCAUGUCUCCUCCUGGCACUUACUAAGAGUGCUUCACCCCCACCCAUCACACUGAGCCUGGGCGUUCCUCCUGCUUCGUUUUAUACCACAAGUAGCCCACAGCCUUAAGCCAAAAUUACAGGGCUUGUGAUUACAGCAGAAAAUUUAGAAUAAGAAAAA